GACGAACGCUGGCGGCGUGCUUAACACAUGCAAGUCGAACGGAAAGGCCCUGCUUUUGUGGGGUGCUCGAGUGGCGAACGGGUGAGUAACACGUGAGUAACCUGCCCUUGACUUUGGGAUAACUUCAGGAAACUGGGGCUAAUACCGGAUAGGAGCUCCUGCUGCAUGGUGGGGGUUGGAAAGUUUCGGCGGUUGGGGAUGGACUCGCGGCCUAUCAGCUUGUUGGUGGGGUAGUUGCUUACCAAGGCUUUGACGGGUAGCCGGCCUGAGAGGGUGACCGGCCACAUUGGGACUGAGAUACGGCCCAGACUCCUACGGGAGGCAGCAGUGGGAAAUAUUGCACAAUGGGCGGGAGCCUGAUGCAGCAGCGCCGCGGGCGGGAUGACGGCCUUCGGGUUGUAAACCGCUUUCGCCUGUGACGAAGCGUGAGUGACGGUAAUGGAUAAAGAAGCACCGGCUAACUACGUG
rnacentral:rRNA from 1 species